AUGUUUUUCAAGAAAUGUUGUUUUUGUCUUAGCACAGGUAAAGUGGUUUUGCAUUUGGAUUAGAUGUGGACAUUUAGAAAUGAAUGAAACUGCUUCACCUGUGCAGGUGUUUUUUUACACACACGCAAACGUUGAUUUUGUUCUCUUACUGUUAAAUUUAAACCGGCUGAACCAGGAGGUCAAAGUGAAGUUGUUUUAACAUACCUAUCUAUUUUGUCAGAGGUAGAAACUGUACAACAUCAGGAGAGGAAAGCUGUUUGUGAAUCGGUUUGAGAACAGAUCAGUUUAAUACUGCGGUCUAGAGACCGAAUGGAUUUAUGAACUGAAUGAUGUUUGUGUUUGAUGUUCAUUGUUGAGACAAAGUAGCACUGCUUAUAAAAUGAGUCUCUGUGAGAAGAGAGAGGAAGAGGAGGAUGUUCACAAACAUAAAGCAGCAGCUCCAGAACCCAGCUGUGUGUCUAUGAAGAGCCGCUGGUCCAUAGGCAUCCCUCCUAAUCUCAGUGCUGCAACGGUGACCUCUGAACCUGAGAAAACAGUGGACUUGGCAACACUGGCAUGGAUGGAUGCUCAGAGCACAACAAUAUUACCAACGCUGAAAGAGCAGCUUUAGAUUUUAAGUGAGAUUUAUAUUUGAUGAUUGUGGUCCUAACUGAAGUAUAUUUCUGUUCUGUGUGUCAGUAGUACUGCCUAUAAAAUGAGAAAGGAGGAGGUUUCUGUUCAGACAAGUAAUGCAGCAUCUCAAGAACCCAGCUGUGUGUCUAUGAAGAGUGACUGGUCCAUAGGGAUUCCUCCUAAUCUCAGUGCUAGAGCAGUGACCUCUGACCCUGGGUGAGUAUCAGCAUGAGCAUUGUCUUUGCUUCUUCAUGCAAAAGUUUGCUAUUAGGUCAUAAGCUUUUCUUUGAUUAAUAAUU
ensembl:lncRNA